UACGGAGGGUGCAAACGUUGCUCGGAAUCAUUGGGCGUAAAGCGCACGUAGGCGGUCUGCUAUGUCGGGUGUGAAAUCCCUCGGCUUAACCGAGGAAGUGCAUUCGAAACUGGCAGACUUGAAUACUCAAGAGGGUCUCGGAAUUCCCGGUGUAGAGGUGAAAUUCGUAGAUAUCGGGAAGAACACCGAUGGCGAAGGCAGCCAUCUGGACCGACACUGACGCUGAGGCGCGAAAGCGUGGGGAGCAAACAGG
rnacentral:rRNA from 1 species